rnacentral:lncRNA from 1 species
GGCCAAUGUUCAAAUGAAAGAGGAAAGAAGACAAGAGGAGGUCAACUUGGAUGUCAAAGAUAAAAAGAAUGUGUUGGAGGACAAGCAAAAAAUUGAAGAUGACAGAAAAAGCACAGAAGAUGUGCAACAAGAGAGAGCUCAAAAGAAAACAAACAGAGAAAAUGAGAAACCAGUGAGGGAAGACCACGACUGGGUGGAGGAGCAAAGUAAUGUUAAAGACAUGGGACAUGCAGAUGAAAAGACAGAAGGUGAAAGUAAGGUAUUGGAGACGGGGAAAGCAGGUGAUCAGACUGUGGAAAAGGAGUUUCUGAAAGACCAAGUACAGAUAAAGCCCUCUUCUAAGGAUGUUGUAGACUGGACAGACGUCAAGGAAGCGGAGAUUAAAAAGGAGAUCCACAAUGAUGUGUGUGAGGACCAUCAGGACCUUACUGUGACCAAAAAUGAAGACAGUGUCACCUUGAAGGACUCGAAGACAAACUCUGCAUACUUUCCUCUCAAAGUUUCCUCUCUUGAUGAAGCCACAGGAGCAACAAACACUGGGGUUGAGACUAAAGAGCUGAUCCAAAAUGAUGUGGCUGAGUACCAACAGGACAUUACUGUGACUGAAUCUAUUUUUAGUGACCCCAAAAAUGAGGAUGAUGAGAUUACAGUUGGCCAACAAACACUGGAAGAGAGAAAUGAGAAGGACAAAGGGAAAAAUAGACUAGAAGAAGAGAGAAAGAAGAUGGAGGAGCAAGAAAAGAAAUGGGUGGAAGAGGAAAUAAGAAAGGGAGAGAUGAUCAUAAUGGAGGAGCAAAUGAAGAGAGAGGAAGAGAAAAGAAGGGUGGAGGACGAAAGAAAGGAAGAGGCAGUGAGGUUGGAGAUGAACAGAGAGAGAAUGGAGGAAGAGAAAAAGAUGAUGGAUGCAAACAAUGAAGAUAAUCUGUUAAGGAGUCUGGAGGAGGAGAGAAUGAGAGCUCUGGAAUUAGAAAAGAGGAACAGAGUGACAGACGAACAGCUAACAGACACCUGGACAAAAGCAGUGAAUGUAGAAGUGAAAUACUCAGAUAAUGAGGACUGGAUAGACUCUGAACAUGAUAAUGAAUGCAAGAUCCAGACAGAUGAAAAGCGGCAGGACCUUGAGAGUAAGUUAGAGGAAAGCAUUGAUAAAGAACUGAGCCAUGGAGAGCACAGUGACAUAGACAAUAAACUGGCAGAGAAAGAGGUUGAGAGAAGCCCAACUUCUAUGGCAGAGCAGUCUGGAAAAUCAUCAGUCCAGGAUGAAGAACACUUGCGGAGCCCUGAAGUGACAGCACAUGCAAACCCACAGAAUACUCAAUA